AUUAUUCCGAAGAGCAGCCUACACCUUGGAGAAACAGCAAACGAAUCGUCACCAAGUAUAAGAAGCCUGUUACUCAUAUAGAGCUUUCGCUCAAGGAAAACGUGCAACUGCAACAUACAGAAAACGCAUGGAGGCCUAGACGAGUGAAGCCCUCUGCUACCAAUGAAGAGGAGGCAAAGACUCAGGACCUGUAUAAGAAGGUUCGCAGUGUACUCAACAAGCUCACACCUGAGAAAUUUGACAGAUUUGUUGCUCAGGUCCAGUCUCUGCCAAUUGACAGCAGUGAUCGCCUGGAGGGCGUCAUCAAGCUCAUAUUUGAAAAGUCGAUCUCCUCGUCAAGACCCCCGUCUUCUACUGAAGCAGUGACUGCAGCUGAUUCCUCGGCAGUGGUAGUGGCUUCCAUCACGCCAAGAGCUGAGACUGUAGCAUCCACCUGGCCAUCAACACUAUCACCAAUCUCACCUUCAAACUGGCCUUCGACCUGAUCGUUGAACUGACUUUUGACGUGGUCGUGAAUCUGGCCUUCAACUUGUCUGUUGACCUGCUGCUCCAAGUUCAAGAUGCGCAUCUCUUGAGACAAAAUUAGACUUUUCAGGUGAUCAAUUUCCUUUCUCUGCUGAUCUGUCACUUGCAACAAGCUGCUAGUGUACACCUUCUCUGCUUCCAAGAGCAAUGAGGCUGCAUAGUCUGUAACAUUUGAUAAUUAUUUUAAAUUGUAAAAUUCUUCUUGUGAGUGUAUACGAGGGUUACUUCAAAAGUCAUGGCAACUAAUUUUUUGGGGGCAAACACGUUAUAUUGAAGAAAGUUCAAAAUAUACAUAUGAAAGGGCAUGAUAUACUCCUCCGAUUGGCAUAGUCAGAUCAGGUAGGUGUGAAUGUGUGUAGGAAUAGUAGGCAAGAAAAUGAUACAUUACAGAAUGACCUUUUUUUCAUUUUCUAAUGCUCGAAAAAUUCAAUUGUGAAAAAAAAUAUUCAAAAAAUUAAUUGUAACAACAGUUUGUAAUUUUUAAAUUGUAAUUCUUCCACCCAUCACAAAAUAUUUACUUGUCUUCCAUUUUCAGUUUAUGAGUCACUUACAGCCGAGUCAACCAUUUUUUCAGAAAGCCCAUUCAUUUUCUCUUACGUAAUGCAUCAUGAAUUGCCACUUGCAGAGUUUACAACUAGGAUUUGCACGCUGGUCACCGGAAAACAUUUGUCCUAACGAAGAAGGCGUUGAACAGUCUGCCUCUGAUUUAGCCUUCACCAAAGAGGGGAGGGUAUUUACCCUGUGGGGCCCAUCAGACAGAGUUCCUCCUCAACACUCGUGACUCAGGCGCAAGACAAAAUUAUUCUUGGUCACAACUCGCAGAGAGCAAAGUAAACGAACAUAAUUCAUCACCUGAAUGCAGGACAGAAUCAUAAUAAAAGGUAAAAUGAUUCUCUGAAAUCCAGAAAAUUUAAAAUGUCUGAGAAUGACUAUAAAAAAAUUGUUUUCUUUGAGAAAUUACGAGGGGGUUAAAUGUGGGGAAUUCUUGUUACAAUUCUGUUCACAGUUUUCCGAUUUCCCCUGCCUUCCCGUCUCCAACAGCCGAAGUCAUCCAAAAUACUGAAGUAACGAACAAUUACUGAAGGUGACUGGAAGAGGGGUCUGGGGGGCACAUCUGGACAUCUAGAGAGACAUGCAUUAACAUCAUAAUUGACAGAAUAUCAUACUGAUGUGAUUUAUAGACAGUACUUUUAACCUUAGCACAUACACAGAAUUCCACCAUACUUACUGUCUGCAUUGAAUAUCUCGAUCUGUUUUUCCAGCAUUAUGUACUUCUUGUUUGAUGCUCUGAUCCUCUCAGUCAGAGUUUACAAGGUUUCUUUCGUAUCCCUCAAGAGAAGAGAACGUGUUACUUCAAAUGGUCCCAUUUGUGUAGAGGAUUUACCUGAGGACACACAGAAUGCAGCAUUUUAUAAUCCAAGAAUUCUCUGUAACUUCAUAAUGUUAAUAUUUAUUGCUAAACAUUUGUCUCAACUUUGAAAUCUUAACUUCAGUCACACAUAAAAUCGUGUGUGCAUUGGAUUUACGUUUUUCAGCAAGACUGGUUUGUUCCUUUAAUCUCCCUUAAUUAAUUCACACUUUGUUACGUCACUAAAACAUCUGUCGCUAUCAAAAGCAAAAAGUGUUAACAAGAAUACGCUUAAUAUAACUACAACAUGCGCCAUUUUCACUGAUUUCGUGUGGAAAAUGCAGAGAGUGUAAAUGGUGUAGUCGCAUUCAGAAAAGUGAUAGUCGGGACGUGCAGUGAAACAUUCACACACGUACUUGCUACCUCUAAAUUCUCUGAACGGCAUUAAAAGUUUUGUGUAUCAAUCAUGCUAAGAUGUGCCAUUUAUUAUGUCUAAUUAAGUAGUAUGGGGCUUGAUGUAAAGUAGGAUGGUUAUAAAUGCAUUCAGAAGUAGUCUAAACUUAAAAAUGUAGACACGUGCGAUCAUAUCUAACAUCUUUAACCCCGUGGACGCUCAAAAGAUUUAAGUCGCGUAAUUCACAAACCUAAGGAUACUGAGGGAGACUACAAGUAGAGCACCGUUCUCACCUUUUUACCAAGUUACUCUUUCAUUUGUGAGCUUUCUUAAUUUCAUUUAAACCAUGUAAAUGUCUCUAACACGUUUGUUCUGUUUGAUUCACCAGUUUUGUUUCUUCUGAUAUUCCCCAUUUUUCUUCAUGUUUGUUCCAACAGCUUCACUUAAUUAAAUAAAAAUAAUUAAUAAAACCACUCACCCCACGCUCUUUUCGAGAACAAGAGAUGCCGUAAACAAUCAGAAAUCAAUGUAAUAUUACUUGAAAUUGUGUUAAAAAUAAGACAAGCCUAAUCUCUUACAAGACUUCACAAAUGUAAAUGAUAACCUGUAAAAGUAAUGAGCAAUAAUAUUAAAUACGAAACCCUUGGCUCACCCUUUGUGAAUAGGAGGAGACCUCGAUGCCCACAGGCAGCGAAAGUUGAAUUAAAAAUCAAAUAUUAAUCGAACGAGUGCGGGACUCUGUCACAAAAUUGUUACUAAUUCAUAGAACAUAAAUUCACGAGUUAUUCUGAAAGGUGUUGCUAAAUAAGGCAACACAAACGUAUCUGGAAGCAUUUAAUCUACAACCGGUCCACAGCACAAUUCGUUCCAGAAUGACGAAAGCCGAUUGUGGCCUGCUAUUUAUACCAAUACAAUGCCGACGUUACCUGUGACGCAAGUCAGUAGAGGGAAUCCAAUAUGGUUCAUUCAGGCGUGCAUAACAAAUGAGAAAUGAACCUUAUGGCAUACCAGCCGAGAUUGUUGCACGUGUUCGCAUUUUAUGAGAACACCUGCGUCUCAUAUUUACACAUUCUCUGUAGUUAAAGAAAUACAAAUUGAAUUACUCCAAGUUAUAAUUUUUUUACAUUCCAUCAUAAAUGUAAGAAGUCAAUAAUUAAUAUUAAAUAUUUUCUAUGUAAAAAGAAAUUAAUUUAAAAGUAAUGAAAGGAGGCUUGAAGUAAAUUUUGCAAUUUAAUUUGCCCUUGUUUAAAAAUAACGUCGUGUUUUUCUAUACCUGUCUAAUUUUAAAGACGAUUUUUGAAGGGCCCGGGCGCUGUUGAACCCAUCGCCCCUGGGUCAGAGAAAAUGUUUCCUUCCUUCGAAUCCCGAUUAUUCAUUUUGACCAGUGAGAGAACACAGGAAAGUCAGAACACUGGGAAAAGACGGGACAGGAAUUGGAUAUAAUUUUUUUUAGAUUAUGGUGCCACAGAUUUUCAGCUCUCUCACAGGCGGCUUUAAAUGGCGGAUGCUAAGUUUGUUAUGAAUUGAGAAUUGGAUAGGGUGAAUGUGUAAAUGGAUUUGAGGAACUGCUAAGGAAUUUGCCUUUGACAAGGUGGGGAUUGUUUCUUUGUACAAGAUUCGAACUGAAUAUCGCUGGGAUAAUUAUAACCUGUCUGCUUUGUCUUGAGUACUUCGUGGUUUUACUUUCGUUAAGUUAGAGAAUUUUCUGGCGUUGAUUCUGAUUCUGCCUCAGAUAAUUCGUUGAUGCGAUAAUUGUUCCUGUGCUCAAGCGUCAGCUUCACGCUUCGGCCUGCUUGACCCUCGGUGAUCAGGGGAUACAAGGGUAGGUGACCCCCAGAAACGGAUUGGCCACAGAGAGGGAGGGAACUUUGCCCCGUAAUCCACACAAAACCAGGAUCACGAUUGACUAUGGCCGCCAGAUGCGGAGUGUUUCGAAAAAGCAUUCGCGGACAGCCGACAAGGGGUGAUUCUCCAACUUGUGUGUUGGGCGUGGGGCUAACAAUUGCCGACUGUUAGAAUAAUAAAUUGUUCCGACAUUUUGUGCGUGUCCUCUGACUGGGAGGGAAUAUUUGCAACGACGUAAGCUGUCCAGCGCAAUCAAAGAUAAAAGACAAAUGACUUGUUCUUAUGCUCAUUUGCUCUUUAACGUGAUGCAUGCAAUAUUAUCAUUUGUCUAUGUCGGCUAAUAUAUGAUAGGUGAGAAUUAUAUUUUUCAUAUAUGCCUACAAUUUGUACUUGACAAUUUUAUAGUUGUAUCUUUUGUCUUAUAUUAAUCCACAGUUCGUUCCAGAAUAUCUCUCUCUCUUUAUUUAUUUUUAAUAAAGUGUAUUGUGAAUUAGUAUGCCGAAUUCCGCUGGACUGACACAAAUCUAAUUACUCCUUAAAAAGGCUUGCAGUGCACUUUGUU